AGAACCAUAUUUGUAGGAAUAAGUCUCACCCACCGAUCCAUAAUCAACGGGAGCAGUUAUUUUCUCCUUAUCUUCUUCCACGCAUCUCUCUUCAAGAAAAUCUUCAUGAUUAUCCCUGGUUUCAUACCAAAACCGCUGCUUAUCAAACUGUUGACAAAACAUACGUAACUAUGAAUAGAUAUCUGUCAAGGUUAUGGAUGGUAGGUGUUGUGAACAUCCCAAGGUAUGAUGUGAACAUUCUGAGAUUUGAUGCGUAAAUUGGGUAGUUGAUGCUUUGAAGGUCUUGGAAGAACAUCUAUGUCUCUUCACCAUCACCAUUACAACCUUUUUCGAACAACUUUCAGGAAGAUAUGACUCUCCGUGUUCUUGUAACUUCGGGUAUAUCUCUCAAGGAGGAGUUCAUUAUUGAGAGAAGAUUAUGUAUUGGUUAAUUCAAUCCCUGAAGCCAAAGGAGGAGUUGUCUUCAAAUUGAAGGGCGAACCUUGCUAUUUCUUCUUGUAAGUACAUCACCUGCAGAGAAGACAAAUACGACUUGAUAUUUAAUUAUGAACGUACUAAAGAAGCUGGUAGUGACGCAGGUGAGCUCAAUGCCUUGGUAGAUGUUUGCAUUGCUUAAGAAUGGAAGAGAUAUUUUGGGCCCAGAAAUGCAGCGGAGUAAAUUGGUUAAAAUUUGGUAAUCUUAUAUUGCUACUCUGGCAAGAAGGCAAAAGAAUCAAAAGAAUAACAUUUCUGCUUUGAAAAGUAAUCAAGGGGGUUUCUGAGGAAAAACAAACUCAAGAUUUGAUUGCUCAUUAUUACUCAGUCCUUUACUCCUUUCCCAGUAAUGUGCAGCCUAUUGGUCCAGGUACUCUAAUUCCUUAGAUUAUGAGUGAACAAGACUAUGUGUACUGGUUUACUAGGCCUAUCACUGGUGCAGAAAAUUGGGAUAGUGUGCAAAGCAUUGGUCCAUUUAAGCCUGAUGGUAUACAAGGAAUGUUCUACAUCCACAAUUGGUCUGUCACUGGUCCUAUUUGUGGCAUGGUCAAGGAGCUUUCUACUACUGUAUAUCUCCAGCAUGAGCUAAAUAAAACAUUUAUCACUCUCAAGUCUUAUUCCUAUCAUGGAAGCAUUUUGGACCCAUUAGUCCGCGUAACUUAAACCACAAAAUAAUUUCUAAAAUUUUAUCCUCUUGACUAAAGCCUCUUUUACCUAAGUGCAGCCCAACAUCAGGAAAUCUGGCAGCUCAGGCAAUCAUCACCUUAGAAGUCUACACAAUUUUUUUUUGUUUUUGAUUUCUUAUGUGGUGAAACAAGAAGCAUGAUGCUUGGCAUGAUGAUGUAUGUAACCUACUUUUUAUCCAAUUUUCCUUUAUUUGCAAAUUUCAGUAUAAUACACACAUGAAAUGAAUGAAAUCUCAAUAUAAUACCCACUUUUCAUUGACUUUUUU